GUUUCUGUAUUGUAGUGGUUAUCACGUUCGCCUCACACGCGAAAGGUCCCCGGUUCGAAACCGGGCAGAAACA
rnacentral:tRNA from 1 species